UACGAGUACUCGCUAAUGGCGGACGGUGGAGGUGGUGUUCCUGUCGCAUUUGUGAUUUCACACUAAAUAGGAAGGAAUCGGCGCUGGAUUGUUACACAACUGUUGCACCAGUGAAGGAUGUCUGUGUGCCGCCUUGCAUUCAGUUUCUCAGUCAUGGGGGCCUGCUUGCAACACCAGUGGCAAAGCAGUCUUGCAUUGUGCUAUUUGUUCUGGAAGUACACAAGCAUUGAGGAGCCAUUUGACCUGCCACUACACUGAUACGGUAUUUGGUAGGUUCUAUUACAGGUUUUCUUUCGUGUAGUAGUACCUGCUAUAAUUCUGUAUAACGUGUUCAGACCUUUAGUCAGCAGGCUGUUUGACAACAGGUGUUUACAAAUGAAUAACUAACAAGAUUUUCAAGGUCAUUAGUGAUGCAAUCGUUGCACACUGCUGCAUUUUUCUGCAAAUUAAUUGAUGAGCCACCCAGCAAGUGCUGCUCUCCUGCCUUAAUGCACAAACCUUCAAAUACUGUUAACCCUAUAUCACAAGUGUACAGCAAAUGGAGAUGACUGUUCACAGCGACAAGUUCAUAAUGUUUACUUACAUGCAAAAGGGAGUCAAACGUCAGGUACACAUUUGAAGUUUUCCAAAACAAGUUCAUCAUCAUAGUGCAUAAAUGAAGAAGUAACUUAGCGCAAUAAAAUUACACAGGCACAAGAAAGGGAGACAAAGACAAGCGCUUGGUGACUCAGAAGUGUGUGACAUAUAUGUUCCAACCAAUUAUUAUUUUCUAAAUUUUCUUCUACUGAUCCAGGAUUCCUGUGACUACUUGCCUUAGGUAACAUACUCUGUUGCCUUCUUGCCCUAGAAACAUAACUAGUGCCUUCUUGCAGCCCUUUAAACUGGCAACAUCUUCACCACCGACAGUAGAGCAUGUUCAGAUAAAUUCAACUAGACAUGCCUGGUGACCACUUAAUUUUGGUGAACAAAUUUUAUUUUGUGCCCGAGCCUGAUGACAAUGAAAUCAAUGAUAUCUUCUAUUUUGUUGUAGCGCAAGCUG